rnacentral:siRNA from 1 species
GAUUUUGGAUACUUGCCUCGUGUC